rnacentral:rRNA from 1 species
CACGUAGGGUGCGAGCGUUGUCCGGAAUUAUUGGGCGUAAAGAGCUCGUAGGCGGUGUGUCGCGUCGGCCGUGAAAACCUGCAGCUUAACUGUGGGCGUGCGGUCGAUACGGGCAUCACUGGAGUUCGGCAGGGGAGACUGGAGUUCCUGGUGUAGCGGUGAAAUGCGCAGAUAUCAGGAGGAACACCGGUGGCGAAGGCGGGUCUCUGGGCCGUAACUGACGCUGAGGAGCGAAAGCGUGGGGAGCGAACAGG